GCCUCCGGCCACACCACCCUGAGAAUGCCCAAUCUCAUCUGAUCUCAGCAGUUGAACAGGGUCAGGACCAGGCAGUACUUGGAUAGGACACCUCAUGGUAAUACCAGGUGCUGUGUCC
rnacentral:rRNA from 1 species